ACGAUCACAUCAUGUGAAACACCGGUUCCCAUAUGAUCACUGAAGUUAAGCAAAGUCGAGCCAUGUCAGUACAUAGAUGGGUACCGCUUGGGAAUACUAGGUGCU